GAUGAACGCUGGCGGCGUGCCUAAUACAUGCAAGUCGAGCGAACAGACGAGGAGCUUGCUCCUCUGAUGUUAGCGGCGGACGGGUGAGUAACACGUGGAUAACCUACCUAUAAGACUGGGAUCACUUCGGGAAACCGGAGCUAAUACCGGAUAACAUGUUGAACCGCAUGGUUCAACAGUGAAAGACGGUCUUGCUGUCACUUAUAGAUGGAUCCGCGCCGCAUUAGCUAGUUGGUAAGGUAACGGCUUACCAAGGCAACGAUGCGUAGCCGACCUGAGAGGGUGAUCGGCCACACUGGAACUGAGACACGGUCCAGACUCCUACGGGAGGCAGCAGUAGGGAAUCUUCCGCAAUGGGCGAAAGCCUGACGGAGCAACGCCGCGUGAGUGAAGAAGGUCUUCGGAUCGUAAAACUCUGUUAUUAGGGAAGAACAAAUGUGUAAGUAACUACGCACGUCUUGACGGUACCUAAUCAGAAAGCCACGGCUAACUACGUG
rnacentral:rRNA from 1 species